UAGAAGCCAAAAGGAGCAGCCAAAGGAAGAGCAAAGGGUCACCACACUGAACAGUGGAGCAGCAUAGGGCCUUUUUGUCCCAGCUAACUUGCUUCUGCAAACAUACACUUGAGAGCUAUCCUCCAAGUGGAGCGGCCCACGCUGGACCUUUGAACACUCACCCCUGGUUCACUGUCUCUGUCCUGGUGGUUUCCUGCUGCUUGCUGCUCUCCUGCACCAAGUGUUAGGAGGCUCUCUCUCUGUCUGUCUAUCCACUGCUGCAUCCUCCACCCCCUCCAUCUGAAGAACUCAACCUGUCAAGCCUCUCUGGUUUCUGCCCUUCUGCCUGUCUACUCCUUACCCUAGUCAACACACAAAGGCUCGGAAGUCCAACAGAGGAGCCUUCCUCUCAGAAAGGGAAGGAAGAAGAAAGAUGGUACCAAGCUCUCCUGAUGAAAUGUGUUCUGCCCCACUGGGCUCCAGAGGCAGUGUCUGGUGCUGUUGAUGCCCUUGUUCGAACUUUCCAGAAUGGAUAGUCCCCCAAAGCUGACUGGAGAGACCCUCAUCGUCCACCACAUCCCCCUGGUGCACUGCCAAGUCCCAGACAGGCAGUGCUGUGGAGGGGGAGGUGGAGGUAGCGGGAGCACAAGACCCAACCCCUUCUGCCCACCGGAGCUGGGCAUCGCCCAGCCUGAUCAGGACCUCGGACAAGCCGACUCUCUGCUGUACAGCAGCCUGCAGUCUGCUCCGGGGGGCUCUACACGGUCUGCUGAUAGUGCCAAGAGCAGGGGUCGGGACGGAAGAGGCCCCGGGGCCCCUAAACGACACAACCCCUUCUUGCUGCAGGCAGGCGUGGCCGAGCCAGGACUUGGCAACCUAUAUGAGGAUAGCAUCAGUGACAGUGCCACCCAGCAGUCCUUCCACCUGCACGGGGCUGGCCAGCCCACCUUCCAUCUCUCCUCUUUCCAGCUGCCACCGCCUGGCCCCAGAGUGGGCAGGCCAUGGGGGGCAGCGCGUAGUCGAGCUGGAGUGGUGGAAGGGCAAGAACAGGAGCCAGUGACCAUCUUGGAUGCCCCGCACGGCAGCACUGGCCGCUGCUGCCGGCCAGAGCCGGAAGCUGAGACCAUGGAGCUGGAUGAGUGUGGGGGGCCCGGUGGGAGUGGCAGUGGGGGUGGAGCCAGUGACACCUCUGGCUUCUCCUUCGACCAGGAAUGGAAGCUCAGUUCCGAUGAAUCCCCAAGGAACCCCAGAUGCUCAGGCUCAGGCACCCAGCACUGCCGCUGCAGUAGCACCUCCAGUCAGUCCGAGGCGGCUGACCAGUCCAUGGGCUAUGUGAGCGACUCCUCCUGCAACAGCUCAGACGGCGUGCUGGUCACCUUCAGCACCCUCUACAACAAAAUGCACGGCAACUCCCGUGCCAACCUCAACUCUGCCCCGCAGUCCUGCAGCGACUCUUCCUUCUACAGCCACUCGGACCCUGGCGCCUUCUACCUGGACCUGCAGCCCUCCCCAGCUGAGUCGAAGAUGUCUUGUGAGUCCCACCACCCUGACAGCAGAGGAAGGGAAGGUGGCUAUGGUUGUCCUCAUGUCUCAUCUCCUGAGCUUGAUGCCAACUGCAACUCCUACCGCCCACACUGUGAGCCCUGCCCAGCUGUGGCUGACCUCACUGCCUGCUUCCAGAGCCAGGCCCGUCUUGUUGUGGCCACACAGAAUUACUAUAAACUUGUCACCUGUGACCUGUCCUCCCAGUCCUCCCCAAGCCCAGCUGGCUCUUCUGUCACCAGCUGCUCGGAGGAACACACCAAGAUCAGUCCUGCCCCUGGCCCUGGCCCAGACCCUGGCCCCAGCCAGCCCUCUGAGUAUUACCUGUUCCAGAAGCCGGAAGUCCAGCCAGAGGAACAAGAAGCAGUGGGCUCUGAAGCAGAAGCGGAGGCUCCCAUGGGCCGCACUGUGAUUGAGGGGCAAGUGUACACCAACACUUCACCCCCCAACCUCAGCACUGGACGUCAGCGCUCUCGAAGCUACGACCGCAGCCUAGAGCGCAGCCCUCCUGUCCGCUUGGGCUCUCUGGAACGCAUGUUGAGUUGCCCAGUGCGCCUCAGUGAGGGCCCCACUGCCAUUACUGGGCCUGGUUCCCCACCUCGGCGGGUCACCUCCUUUGCCGAACUUGCCAAGGGCCGGAAGAAAGCUGCAGGCUCUGGCUCCCCUCCACUGCGAGCAAGCACUGGGGACUCCUCUCAGGAGUUCUCACUCAUCCAAGAAGCCCAGCAAGACAGGGUGGGCCCCCCAGAUGAGGGCACUCACUGUAGCCAUAGCCUCCCACCCAUGCCCUUGGGGCCAGGCAUGGACCUGGUUGGCCCAGAGCCCUGGUCUACCCAGGUCUGUCAGGGCCCCCAGUCCAGUGAGAUGCCACCCGCUGGCCUCAGAGCUGCUGGGCAGGGGCCCCUGGCCCAGCUGAUGGAUCCAGGGCCUGCUCUCCCAGGGAGCCCAGCCAACAGCCAUACCCAGAGGGACGCAAGAGCUAAAGCUGACGUGUUUGAUUCCUUCUCCAUCCCUGUUGCCGCAGGGGGUGGUGCUGAGAGCCGACCGGUCCUUCGCUACAGCAAGGAGCAGAGGCCAACCACGCUGCCCAUCCAGCCGUUCGUGUUCCAGCACCACUUCCCCAAGCAGCUGGCCAAGGCCCGGGCCCUGCACAGCCUUUCCCAGCUCUACAGCCUCUCGGGCUGCAACCGUGCACCGCAGCCUGCCCCCGCAGCUGCCCCCGCUGCUCAAGGCCCAGGCCCAGCUCCUUCAGGGGAGCCACAGGUGCCCACCCACAGGGGUGCCAGGAAAGCCAGGCCUGAGCCAGAGACCUCGCGGCCGUCGCCCCUGGGCAGCUACUCCCCCAUCCGGAGUACUGGCCCCUUUGGGCCCAGCACCGACUCUUCUGCCUCCACUUCGUGCUCCCCUCUCCCAGAGCAGGCCACAGCCACAGAAAGCCCACCUCCAUGGGGCCUUUCCUGUCCUCCUGCUGUCCUGCCUGCCGUCUCCCGGCAGCCGCAGAAGGAGGAUCCGAAGAUACUGACCUUGGCUGAGUACCGGCUCCAUGGGACAGGAAGUUUGCCUCCUCUGGGCUCCUGGAGAUCUAGCCUCAGCCGAGCGGAGAGCCUGGUCCGGGGAGGUGGCGAGGGCAGCAUGGCUUCCAGGCCCAGUAAUGCCAACCAUCUAUCCCCUCAAGCACUCAAGUGGCGAGAAUACAGGAGGAAGAACCCUCUAGGACCCCCUGGUUUGUCAGGGAGCCUAGACCGAAGGCCACAGGAUGGUCGGCUGGCCCGAAGGAACCCCAUCUUUGAGUUCCCCGGCUCCCUCAGUGCUGCUGGCCAUCUGAACUGCCGGCUGAAUGGUCAAGUAGUGAAACCGUUACCGCUAACCUGCCCUGACUUCCAAGACCCUUUCUCCUUGACUGAGAAGCCCCCCGCUGAAUUUUGCCUGUCCCCAGAUGGCAGCUCAGAGGCUGUAUCCAUUGAUGUGCUUCAGAAAAAAGGGCUGGUGAAAGCUGUCAACACUGCUGUGGACCUCAUUGUGGCCCAUUUUGGCACAAGCCGGGAUCCCGGAGUCAAGGCAAAGCUGGGGAACAGUUCUGUGAGCCCCAAUGUGGGCCACCUGGUUCUGAAGUACCUGUGCCCUGCGGUGCGGGCUUUGUUGGAGGACGGACUCAAGUCUUUUGUGCUGGACGUCAUCAUUGGGCAACGUAAGAACACACCGUGGAGUGUGGUGGAGGCCUCCACACAGCUAGGCCCAUCCACCAAGGUCUUGCAUGGGCUGUACAACAAAGUCAGCCAGUUCCCAGAGCUCACCAGUCACACCAUGCGCUUCAACGCCUUCAUCCUCGGCCUGCUCAACAUCCGGUCCCUGGAGUUCUGGUUUAAUCACCUCUAUAACCACGAAGAUAUCAUCCAGACCCACUACCAGCCGUGGGGCUUUCUGAAUGCAGCGCAUACAGUGUGCCCUGGCCUCUUUGAGGAGCUGCUGCUGCUGCUCCAACCCUUGGCCCUCCUGCCCUUCAGCCUAGACCUGCUGUUCCAACACCGGCUGCUGCAGAGCGGCCAGCAGCAGCGGCAGCACAAGGAAUUGCUGCGAGUGUCCCAAGACCUGCUAUUGUCCGCCCACUCGACCCUGCAGCUGGCCCGCUCCCGCGGCCAGGACGGCCCCGGAGAUGUGGACAGGGCGGCCCCCGGGGAGCGGGUGAAGGGUGUGGGUGCCUCAGAAGGUGGAGAAGAGGAGGAGGAAGAGGGGGAGACAGAGGCGGCCGGGAGCUCAGGGCGCGGCAGGUGGGCCCGAAGUGGGCAGGCUGGCUGGUGGUACCAGCUCAUGCAGAGCUCCCAGGUCUACAUCGACGGCUCCAGCGAGGGCUCUAGGUUCCCCCGAGGUAGCAGCACUGGUAGCAGCAGCGAGAAAAAGAAAGGGGCAGGAGGCGUGGGGCCACCCCCCCGAGAGGGAGUCGUGGAGGGAGCGGAGGCCUGCCCUGCCCCUGAGGAGACCCUCGGCCGGGAGAGGGGCUGGCCUUUCUGGAUGGGGAGCCCCCCUGAUUCUGUACUGGCGGAGCUGAGGCGGAGCCGGGAGAGGGAGGGGUCUGCUGCCCCCACAGCCGAAAAUGAGGAAGGAGCAUCUGAACCUUCACCAGGGGGCAUCAAGUGGGGACACCUCUUUGGGUCCCGGAAGGCUCAGCGGGAGGCCCGACCCACAAAUAGGCUGCCCUCGGACUGGCUCAGCCUGGACAAGUCUGUGUUCCAGCUCGUGGCGCAAACAGUGGGUGCCCGCCGGGAGCCAGAGCCCAAGGACAGUCUGCAGGAGCCACCCUCUCCAGGCCUGCCUUCCAAGCCUCCAUGUGAGGUGAAGGCGCUGUGCCACCAUCUGGCCACAGGCCCUGGACAGCUGAGCUUCCGCAAGGGAGACACCCUGCGGGUGCUGGGGCCAGCCGGGGCGGACUGGCUGCGCUGCAGCCGCGGCUCAGACACCGGCCUGGUGCCCCUGGCCUACGUGACUCUGACGCCAACUCCAAGUCCAAGCCCUGGAAGCAGCCAGAACUGAGGCCCUGUGCAUGCUGGUGGCCUCAGGGACCCUCACAGCCCCCAGGCUCAUCACCUAAGAGCGCUUCCCAAGCCGUCUGGCCUGGUUACAGAGAGUAGACCGAGAGCUGGGGGCCACAUAUCCCUGUGCUCAGUAUUAAUUACUCCCCAUUACCUGUCCCAGUGACCUCGUCAGGACCUUCCCCCAGGAGAGGAGGGAAGGGAUGCAGCACUGGGCUGCCAGAGUCUCCCCAGCCAAUCUGGCCAGUCCUCCCAUGGGUGCAGACAGGUACUUCCCUGUGGAGGGAGGUGACCAGAAGGCCCACUUGCAGGGUUCCCUCAGCCAGGUGGUGAGGAGGUUGUGUGACAGUAUUGGGGCCAGUUCCCUAAGCCCCCAGCUGUAAAUAGGCUGUGGCCAGUGCCUGGCGGUCAAGGAGGGAGGAGGAGCCCAGGCUUCUGUUUAUGUAUUUAUUUAUUUAUUUAUUACACCUAUUAAUAAAAAAGGUGCUCGGCCUCCAAACUGUUCUCUCUUUGUGCUUCCUCCUGCCAACCCGCCUUUCUUCUUUCCAAAAGGAUGGCUGGGAUAGGAUGACAAGGGAAGAGAGAACUUAAAUGCCAGGUACCUACACCAGGAGCUGCUUCUGGAGGGCGCUGAGAGCCAGAGCAUCCUGGCGCCUGGUUGCUGAGCACAGGAAAGCUGGAGCCGAAGAGGAAGCGAGCACGGGGCACAUAACCAGUGAAGCCUGGGGGGCGGGAACACUCAGUCGGUACCUUCUGGGCACAUCCCCAGGCCCUUGGUCAUUGCCCACAUCCUCUCACCUGACAUGAAGAACUUGCGAGGGUCUCUGUCAUCCAUGGAAUAAGGGGAAGCCUUGUGAGGAGAUUGAUAGAGGAGAAACGGCAAACAAAUUCAGCCCCUGGGUUAUAGCACAAGCUCCCAGGGCAGUGGGGCUAGUGGUCUGGCCCUGUACCCACAGCCAGCCUUCACAUGGCCACCACAGGCCUGGCCGCACAGAGGUAGGGGCUCCCCGCUCCCACCACUGGAUUCUGCCUUAGCCUUCUCCAUCUCACUUGUUCCGCCUCCUGCCCCAGCUCCGGCUCCUUUUCUGCCUCCAGCUCUGCCCCCGGCUUUGGCUCUUGGUCUUUCUCCACGUCUUUUUCUCCCUUGGCCUCUUUGGGCAGCUCCUGACUCCCCUGUCCUCCGCUCCACUGAGUAAAACCAUUCAGAGCCUCAGCCCAGACCUGGCUGCAGUUCUUGGCAAAGAUGAACUGUGCCUGUGGCACAAAACCUAGGUGGGCAGGGGACAAAGGAGAUGCAUUAGAGCGUGGGGCCCGUGUUCUGGGAUGGGGGACCCUGUUCAUACCC